GAUGAUUCUCUGAUUAGGUGACAUCAUAAAGGCUUCUACACCAGCCUCUGCUAGACAGCAGGCUUGUGUUCAUCCAGGAGAUGAUCCAGUGUUAGGAAGACAAGCCUGAAAGAAGACUGUGCUGAAAAAAAAGGCACCCUCAUCCCUAGAGGCAGAGACUGGCAGAGUUGAUGCUCUAAGUUCUGAUGACUUCUGUCUUCUUCCUCCCUGCUCCCUGGUCUAUUUAGGCCUCCAAAGCAAGUUAACCAAGUUAUUCUGCCAAUGCUGCCAACAUGAAGAAGAACCUGAGAUCGUCACCAACAAGGCUCCAGAAGAAAAGAAGCCAGUGGAGGUGAAAACUGUGGUUCAGCAAAAUGAAACUGGAUGACGGAGUGGGAAAAGCACCAACCUCGGGAUCAGCAGGUGGGCAUUUGUAUCUUGGUUCCACAACUUCCUUCCUUACCCAUGUGACCUUGGAAG